UACGUAGGUGGCAAGCGUUAUCCGGAAUUAUUGGGCGUAAAGAGCGCGCAGGUGGUUGAUUAAGUCUGAUGUGAAAGCCCACGGCUUAACCGUGGAGGGUCAUUGGAAACUGGUCGACUUGAGUGCAGAAGAGGGAAGUGGAAUUCCAUGUGUAGCGGUGAAAUGCGUAGAGAUAUGGAGGAACACCAGUGGCGAAGGCGGCUUCCUGGUAUGUAACUGACACUGAGGCGCGAAAGCGUGGGGAGCAAACAGGAUUAGAUACCCG
rnacentral:rRNA from 1 species